UUUAGGGAUAAAAUAUUGAAG
rnacentral:piRNA from 1 species